rnacentral:rRNA from 4 species
CCUGGCGGCUGUAGCGCGGUGGUCCCACCUGACCCCAUGCCGAACUCAGAAGUGAAACGCCGUAGCGCCGAUG